UUAUCUAUAUCUACUUGCUUUAGACUCAACAGUAGUAGUAGCUUCAGUUAAAAGGGUUACACAUUGAUAGUGUAAAAAGUUUUACACAGUCAUCCAAUCACAAUUCACCAUAUAUGUUAAGUAUGUUGACUUUUAAAAUAAUUAUUUAAAAGUAAUUCAAACGUGAUUUGUGAUUGAAUGAUAAUGUAAAACUGUUUUACACUAUUAGUGCAUAGGCAGUAAACUCUUUUUUUAAUGUGUAUAGUAUAUCCUUCCGUACCCAUAGUUUUAGAAAUUUUGUUGUACCCCGUCCUGUACCAAUACCAGUACCUAUAGCUGUGUCACUUCAUUAUUUUCAUUGAGUGUGAACUCUACUGGUAUAGUAAGUUCAGACUUCAGAACUUGUGUUAGUUAACCUUGACUCUACCCUAGUACAUUAACGUGUUAGUACCCUAGAACUUGUGUUUCUCUGUAUCAACAGCUGGUAGCAUCCCGGAAGCCGCAACAAGUGAGGCAAUUGAACCUUCAAGCAAUGUUCCAUCCCGGGGCACUGAGCUUUGAUCCUAUCAGAUGCUGCAAACUGCUAAAACCCCACAGUUCUAGGUUCUAACCGAAUCCUAGUGAUUUGAUCAUGUAUUACUCAAUUAGCUAUCAGGGGCUCUGAAAAUAGGGUACCCGUGCCAUUGGAUACUUCCAGCAGUCAAGAAGUAAAGAAGACUGUGGCCAAAAAAUUCCUGUCUAUGCUGAACAAGCUAUAUUACUUUUGUACUUGUCGACCAAAGGCACAUGAGGAAUUGAGUGUCUAGGUUAGCAUGUUUGGUGUUUACUUAAACCGGAAGGAUAGCUAUACAAUGAAACCCAAAGGAUGGGUCAGUGAUAUGGUGAUUUUAGCUGCUGGAAAGAUAAUGAUGGAAGAGGAGAAAGCAACAAAUGGGGCUGUCACUCGCCAUAUGCUUGGCCCACAAUUUGUAGUGAGUAGUUAAGUAUAAUGUUUAUAAACAAAAGAGCUGUUGAAGGACCCAUGCUAUCAACAUUUAUGGUAGUGCUAUUGUUUUUCUAUAUAUGUUUAGUCAGCAUAACACUCAAAUGUCAGUCAGUGAUGUUUCUGUGUAGAAUAAGCUAAUAUGCGACUUAAAUCAAUCUAAUGAAGAUAGCUACAAGCCUUGGUGUAUUGAGGAUGUAUCUCUAUUCAUCUUGCCGAGUAAACUGGGUUAUGAUAUUAAUCAGUGCAAAUUGAUUUUUGCACCAACUUUGUUUGAGGAGCAUUGGUCUUGUUAUGCAUUCGAGCCAAGUACAAAACUUUAUAUGUGUUAGAUUCGAUGCAUGAUAAUUUCUCAACCAGCAAGAAGAACUUGGAUGAUGCAAUGAAACAUCGUUUUAAGGAGCUUCUGGUAUUAAUGAAUCCUGGUUUGACCAAAGAGAGUGCAUCAAUAACACUUCUUCACGUUGAUGUUCCCAGGCAGCAAAACAUUCAUGAUUGUGGCAUCCAUGUGCUGAAAUACAUGGAAAUUUGGGAUGGAUCAAUAAAAUGGCAAGACAAAACCAUGCCUGAUUAUCAACACAAAGAAAUCUUGAAGAUUCGACAAAGCCUAUAUGUGGAUGGGUUCGACAUCCUAAAAACGAGAUUAGAGAAGAGAUUUUGAAGGCAGCAGGAGUAUGGGGGAAAUUAUGCUGACUGACAUUGAGUCAUUGACUAUCAAGUUCACACGUCUACUAAGAGAUUUCGGUUAUACAUAAUUAAUUUUUUAAAAUGAAAUACAGUUUUAAUUCUUCAUCUGGGGCACCCAAACUUAAUAUGAAAAUGUAACACCUAGUUCACACUUUACUUGUAUCUUUAUAUUGGGCAUCUAAACUUUAAUGCCCUGUGACACUGGAAUAUACUAGUUUCUUUAAAGUUGCACAUUUUUCUCAGAUUGUUCGUCUGAGGUAAAUAUAAUAACUUCCUUCCUA